rnacentral:rRNA from 1 species
UAACACAUGCAAGUCGAGCGGUAGCACAGAGAGCUUGCUCUCGGGUGACGAGCGGCGGACGGGUGAGUAAUGUCUGGGAAACUGCCUGAUGGAGGGGGAUAACUACUGGAAACGGUAGCUAAUACCGCAUAACGUCGCAAGACCAAAGUGGGGGACCUUCGGGCCUCAUGCCAUCAGAUGUGCCCAGAUGGGAUUAGCUGGUAGGUGGGGUAACGGCUCACCUAGGCGACGAUCCCUAGCUGGUCUGAGAGGAUGACCAGCCACACUGGAACUGAGACACGGUCCAGACUCCUACGGGAGGCAGCAGUGGGGAAUAUUGCACAAUGGGCGCAAGCCUGAUGCAGCCAUGCCGCGUGUGUGAAGAAGGCCUUCGGGUUGUAAAGCACUUUCAGCGGGGAGGAAGGCGGUGAGGUUAAUAACCUCAUCGAUUGACGUUACCCGCAGAAGAAGCACCGGCUAACUCCGUGCCAGCAGCCGCGGUAAUACGGAGGGUGCAAGCGUUAAUCGGAAUUACUGGGCGUAAAGCGCACGCAGGCGGUCUGUCAAGUCGGAUGUGAAAUCCCCGGGCUCAACCUGGGAACUGCAUUCGAAACUGGCAGGCUAGAGUCUUGUAGAGGGGGGUAGAAUUCCAGGUGUAGCGGUGAAAUGCGUAGAGAUCUGGAGGAAUACCGGUGGCGAAGGCGGCCCCCUGGACAAAGACUGACGCUCAGGUGCGAAAGCGUGGGGAGCAAACAGGAUUAGAUACCCUGGUAGUCCACGCUGUAAACGAUGUCGAUUUGGAGGUUGUGCCCUUGAGGCGUGGCUUCCGGAGCUAACGCGUUAAAUCGACCGCCUGGGGAGUACGGCCGCAAGGUUAAAACUCAAAUGAAUUGACGGGGGCCCGCACAAGCGGUGGAGCAUGUGGUUUAAUUCGAUGCAACGCGAAGAACCUUACCUGGUCUUGACAUCCACAGAACUUUCCAGAGAUGGAUUGGUGCCUUCGGGAACUGUGAGACAGGUGCUGCAUGGCUGUCGUCAGCUCGUGUUGUGAAAUGUUGGGUUAAGUCCCGCAACGAGCGCAACCCUUAUCCUUUGUUGCCAGCGGUUAGGCCGGGAACUCAAAGGAGACUGCCAGUGAUAAACUGGAGGAAGGUGGGGAUGACGUCAAGUCAUCAUGGCCCUUACGACCAGGGCUACACACGUGCUACAAUGGCAUAUACAAAGAGAAGCGACCUCGCGAGAGCAAGCGGACCUCAUAAAGUAUGUCGUAGUCCGGAUUGGAGUCUGCAACUCGACUCCAUGAAGUCGGAAUCGCUAGUAAUCGUAGAUCAGAAUGCUACGGUGAAUACGUUCCCGGGCCUUGUACACACCGCCCGUCACACCAUGGGAGUGGGUUGCAAAAGAAGUAGGUA